rnacentral:tRNA from 1 species
UCCCUGGUGGCUAUGUGGUUAAGAAUCUGUCUGCAAUGCAGGAGACGCAGGUUCGAUCCCUGGCUAGGGAA